GGCUUUAUAUUCAACUAUGAUAUUAGACUGCAAUUCUGAAGGAGUAUAUUUUAUACUAAGGCUU
rnacentral:tRNA from 1 species